GGUUGGCGUUGGGUGUCGGUUUCUCAGUUGCUCAAAAAUCUAGCUGGCGUCGGUCUCGGCUCUUCCUGGGUGGCCUGGCAAAUUGGUUCCACGGGACUUUUUGCCAGUAUCAAAAAGACUUUUUUUGUACACCCCCGUUUCUCCACAUACAAGUAACACGCUUGAGUAAACGAGCAUUCCCUUCCUCACUUCGUACCAAAGGUGCCUGCGCUCUUGCUCCCCCGCCCAGCAGCUAUCAAUAGCCAUAAAAAUGGGGUCAUACCAGUAGUUCUGGGUCCAAACUCAAGAGCCAGGAGGUCGCUUCUGAGGGGGUCUGGGAAGUGACCAGGAAGAGGACUCAGACUACAGUGCCACCCAGGUCUCUCAAUGCACCAUAAACAUCUACCUUGAAUGGGGAGAGAACAAAUGGUAGAAUCAUGCCCCAGGCCUUAGCUCCAGAGAUUUCCAGAGUGUCACCUGGGCUGUAGACCUGAAACUCACUUCUUGAAUCCUGGUAUAUACUCCCACUACUGGAAGACACUAUUCUUGAGUUUUACCUGCUAGACUGUGUGAACUAUGAAAAUAUGUAUCUGUGACUUCAUUGUGUACAUAGAGGAGGAACUUUUGUACACUUGAUGAUCCGGCAAAAUCGGAUUCUCUUCACCCUGGGCUGUUUCAUGCCUUUUAGCCUUAUUCCAUUAUCUUUGCCUAACUCAUUCAUAGCCUUUUUUACAUAACAUCCUCCAAGAAGUCUUCACUAAUCCGUUUCCUUCAUUAAAGGUUUCCCUGUGGUACCUUA